GCUCGGGUGGUGGAAUGGUAGACACAAGGGACUUAAAAUCCCUUGGAGGUAACUCCGUGCGGGUUCGAGUCCCGCCUCGAGCA
rnacentral:tRNA from 1 species